UACAUUGCGCAGUGACAGUAACAUAGUCUAUGAGGUUCGUAAGAGGCAUGUUUAUUGCUAGUUGAAAAUUGUACCCAAUACAUGUAUUCAUGCCACUUCAGACAUCUAAUGUAACAAUUGGUAAUUUAUAUGUUAU
rfam:Ciona savignyi cont_10282, whole genome shotgun sequence.